UCCCCUGCGCAGAACUUGUUGCGUUCAACUUCGACUCAGCGUUACUGGGUGGAAGAGGAGCUGGAUGGGACAAGUAGCCAGACCCUGACCGUCAUUCCGAAACUCCUGCGGAUCACCGCAGAUUUGCUGACUUGCGCACGCACUAAGGAAAGCUAGCUGGGGGCUGUGCGCUUGAGAGACGGACGCUUUGAUUUGAAGCUCGUACAAAUAAAUCCCGACGGCCUGUAGUCACGUUCAGACAGCUGUGUGUGCGAACCAACACGACGUCGGUUUUGCCGGGUUGAGAGAUCCUUUGGAACCUCAUCCUCCCCUGGGACGAAGAGCAAUUUCGGCGACAGGUUUUCCCACUUUGCUCCUUUCGCUGCUCUUGUCACCUCGCGUCGCGAUGAUCCCGCCGAGAGAUACUUUUCUGUCGUGGGUUCUCUCCACUCGGCCGAGGCAUCGCUCUCCUCCCCCCUCCCGAUGUUGUCCAACCGCGCGCUUUAGCUUCCGUGAGGUAACGGCACUCUCCUUUUUUCAUUCAGUCGCAGCGUCUCGGUGUAAUGGGAUUACACGGGAUUACAAAAAGCAGACGAUCUGUAAUCCACACCACUCAAUCCCAUUUACGACCGAGUAAUUCCUCCUCGCUGCUGCUUUUAAUCUUCUUUCACUCCUACCAUCUCCUGGUGUCAAUUAGUUUGCUUUCAACCCCCACCCCCAAAUAUCCAACCUUCAGCAAGUCAAAGGUCAACAUGAGCCGCACCGCACACCCACGUGCGUUAAACGCGGAUGCGAGCAGCCUGUUCUUCAUUGACAACACAUCUUAAGCAUCAAAUACAGCGAGUUUGAAAAAUGAGUGCUGUGAUGCCCUCGCGUGUGGGCAAGGAGAGCCACGCUUGCCCAUGCGCGUUCAGCCGUUUAUUGAAUGGGACAAAAUGAGAACACGCGCAAGGAGCCGCUGUAGGCCACAACUCGGAUUUCAGAAAUGUUCUUGCUUUGACUUGCGAGCAAACAUUUGAGAUAGGAGUGCUGCGUGGUGGCAGUGAACUCGACUCGCUUCACAAGUUUUGCGUAGUGUACAAAUCUUUAAAAAAAAAAAAAAAAACACGAAAUAAUAAUAACGAAAUAAAAAGUAUUGCGCAUUUUGUAUUUAAAACAAUCACAUGACUUUGCCUUCAAGUCAACUUGCUUAAGACCAACAUGUAAUGGAAAUGCCAUGAACGGGUUAACGAAUAGCGUCUACGUCGCGGCUGGCUCGUGCUUGAACACAAGCGGUGCAGCAACACACGUAGACAGAAAAUAUAAUGCUUACAGGCGUAUAUUCUUAAUCCUCUGGCAAAAACGAGAAAUAUUACAGGAGCUUACUGAGUCUCUUACAGGAGUUGAAAAGUCAUUUGUUUGUGAGAAGGAAUCGCAAGGCACCGUUGCACUGGAAGGCUGAAUUAGGAGCCUGGUGCGGAUUUGCCUUCUCACAGAUGAAUGCAUUUUUUUCCAUUUAAAAGUUUUAUUUAAAUUAUUUUUACAUUUUGUAAAUAUUUUGUAA